rnacentral:rRNA from 1 species
UACAGAGGUCUCAAGCGUUGUUCGGAUUCAUUGGGCGUAAAGGGUGCGUAGGCGGCGCGGUAAGUCGGGUGUGAAAUCUCGGAGCUUAACUCCGAAACUGCAUUCGAUACUGCCGUGCUUGAGGACUGGAGAGGAGACUGGAAUCUACGGUGUAGCGGUGAAAUGCGUAGAUAUCUGGAGGAACACCGGUGGCGAAGGCAGCCCCCUGGGCCAACACUGACGCUCAGGCACGAAAGCGUGGGGAGCAAACAGG